rnacentral:piRNA from 1 species
UCCUGUGCAUGGAGAUGGAGUCCCUC